rnacentral:rRNA from 1 species
GAGCGGCAAGGGCAGCAAUUCCCUUAGAGCGGCGGAUUGGUGAGUAACGCGUGGGUGACCUGCCUUGAGGUUGGGGAUAGCCGUUAGAAAUAGCGGGUAAUACCGGAUACGGUUGCGGGGUUAUGACCNUGCAAAGAAAGGGGUUUUCGGCCCCGCCUUGAGAUGGGCCCGUNUUCCAUUAGGUAGUUGGUGAGGUAAGAGCCCACCAAGCCCGAGAUGGGUAGCCGGCCUGAGAGGGUGAACGGCCACAUUGGGAGUGAGAUACGGCCCAGANUCNUACGGGAGGCAGCAGCUAAGAAUAUUCCGNAAUGGACGAAAGUCUGACGGAGCGACGCCGAGUGGAUGAGGAAGGCCGAAAGGUUGUAAAAUCCUUUUGCCAGUGAAGAAUAAGCAGGGGAGNGAAUGCCCUUGCGAUGAU